rnacentral:rRNA from 1 species
CAGCAGCCGCGGUAAUACGUAGGUUGCGAGCGUUGUUCGGAGUUACUGGGCGUAAAGAGUGCGUAGGCGGUGCCCUAAGUCUGGUGUGAAAUCUCCGGGCUCAACCGGGAGGGUGCGCCGGAAACUGGGGUGCUCGAGUGUGGGAGAGGCAGGCGGAGUUCCCGGUGUAGCGGUGAAACGCGUAGAUAUCGGGAGGAACACCCGCGGUGUAGACGGCCUGCUGGACCAUGACUGACGCUGAGGCACGAAAGCGUGGGGAGCAAACAGGAUUAGAUACCCUGGUAGUCCACGCCCUAAACGAUGCAUACUUGGUGUGAGCCAUUCAUUUGGUUCGUGCCGGAGCUAACGCGUUAAGUAUGCCGCCUGGGGAGUACGGUCGCAAGGCUGAAACUCAAAUGAAUUGACGG